UAAGAAAUUUCAUUACAAUGCCAGAUUAUGUUAUUGUUUAUUUUGAAGAUGAAUAAGAUAAUUUUCUGGAAGUAAUUCCUGAAUCUUGGUUACAGGAAGAGAACAAGUUUGGAUACUGGCCAACUUUUAGAUCAACAGGACAAAUAAACAAUUCAAUCAAAGAUGCAAUGCAACCAGUUGUACAAAUGUAGAAAUUGUUGUUUGCAAGUGGUCUAGCAAUAUGAUAAUAAUAAAAUACAAUAAUUAUUAUUAAAAAACAAAAAUGGUUAAAGUAUAUUGAUGCACUGUAUAUAUUGAAUGUAUAGAGAAUAGAGAAUAUAUAGAUACUGUAUACAUUUAAUGUAUUAAUGUCAUUAAAUAUGUAUAAUUAACAUAAAAAAUCUAAAUAUGAUGAAUCUGGUACAAAUGUCUAAAUUUAUUGCUUGACCUCCUACAAUUAGUUCCUGACAGUCAAUGUUGGAUAGCAAAACUUAUAUAAUUAUUUUAAUUGAUUGCAUUAUUCAAGUAAUACACUUUCUUUUUUUUACUGUUUAGGUACUUUUAGAAGUGGCUUGAAAAAAUACAAAAACUUCAGUGUCAAUCAAACUUUGAUUCCGGUAUAGAGAAAAUAAAUCAAAAGCAAAGAGACAGCAUUAUAAUAAUAUUGAAAACAUUGAUUACCUCUCAAUAUUGUCUCAAGAGUAAUAUGAUAAGCAAAGAUUGUGCUUAGUUCCUCCUUCUUCAAAAUUCUUUUCCCAGGAAAAUAUGCAUGGUAGAGCGAAAACAAGUCUGGAACAAGCAUGACCCAUGGCAAGUUUAAAAACAGCAAAAUUUAUUGCAUCAAAAAUACAACUGACAAAUUAAAACAUGAAACUUAGGAACAUUAAUUUUGGGUUCAGUUAGUAUUGUGACCAACAGAAUAUCAAUUUGUUUAUGCCAAGAAUAUCACCAGGUUUAUCAACGUAAAUAUAUCUCAACGUAAAUUAAGGUGAAGUGAAGCAUAAUCUGUAUACAUAGGAUGCUUCAAAAACGGAAGUAAACGAUCACAUGAAGUCGUGAAUUAGUAAAUCGUGCGACCAAAAAGUCAGAUGGUGCGAGGAUUGAUUCAGCAUGCCAUUCGGAACUUUGGGACAAAGACGGUGAGAAUGCAAAAUGCGACAAUAAUGUCUACAUUUGAGUACAACGGUUUUAAUAUUAUUUGAUAUACAUUUCAUUUUAUUAAAUAUGUUUUAUUUUACAA